rnacentral:tRNA from 1 species
GGAGGGGUGACCGAGUGGCUUAUGGUGACGGUCUUGAAAACCGUUUUCGCUUUCAGCGAACGUGGGUUCAAAUCCCACCCCCUCCGCCA